AUUACUAUUCUUAUUACUACCAUUUACAAUUUCUAGAUCGUUUUUGGAAUUGAUAAAGGGUGCGCUUCUCAGAUGUGUGCAGAGUAAGGGUCGCGGGAAGGAUCCGGCCGAAGAACGCCGAUGAACUUGCUCAGGGCGCCGACUUCGAUAAUAUUGUGGAGUUGCAGCCUGAGGUUCUGUUUAUACUCAACAAAAUCUGUGCACUUAGCAGCACCUAUUAUACAUCUUCAGAAAUCGUAACCUAGCCGGACACUUACUAUUUCCUAUGUCCUGAAUCUAAUUCACAUGAACUGGAUUUCAAUUUUUCUUGCCCUUCUUCUCUUGUUCAUGUUCAUGCCUUUUAUGUCUUAUUAUUAAUCCUCUUUUCAACUUAUUACUAAUCUGGCAUCUAGGUGAGACGUAGAGCAGUUGUACCAUCUCUACACAAAAGAUUUCUCCCAGUGAUCGUUCGUCGUCGUAGCUUUUAUAUCUUACUUAUUAACCCUUUCUUCAACUUAUUAUUUGUCUGGCAUCUAUUUUAGGUGAGACGUAGAGCAGUUGUACCAUCUCUACACAAAAGAUAUCUGUCAGUGAUGGUUGAUAAAGUAUUUUGUAAAUGUGCCGAGAGAUUAGUGGAAAAGCUUGAGACAUAUGCUUUGAGUGGUGAACCUGUUAAUAUGGAAGCGAGGUUUUCUCAAAUGACUCUAGAUGUGAUUGGUUUGUCCUUAUUCAACUACACUCCCAUAAAUUUUAGAAGUUUACCAUAUA